rnacentral:miRNA from 1 species
CUCCUACACGUUAGCAUUAACA